rnacentral:ribozyme from 1 species
CUAACACAAACAUGCUUGUUUUAGACACAGAAAAACAUAACAUCCUAUCCUCAAUUCACACACAAUCAUUGUUCUUCUUUUCCCGUCAAUGUGUGUUUUAAAAGACGACGACGAUGAAGAAGAAGAU